UACGUAGGGUGCGAGCGUUGUCCGGAAUUAUUGGGCGUAAAGAGCUCGUAGGUGGUUUGUCGCGUUGUUCGUGAAAACCGGGGGCUUAACCCUCGGCGUGCGGGCGAUACGGGCAGACUUGAGUACUGCAGGGGAGACUGGAAUUCCUGGUGUAGCGGUGGAAUGCGCAGAUAUCAGGAGGAACACCGGUGGCGAAGGCGGGUCUCUGGGCAUGAUCUGACGCUGAGGAGCGAAAAGUGUGGGGGAGCGAACAGG
rnacentral:rRNA from 1 species